CAAUAGCGUAUAUUUAAGUUGUUGCAGUUAAAAAGCUCGUAGUUGGAUUUCGGAUGGGACUUGCCGGUCCGUCGUUUCGAUGUGCACUGGCCAGUCCUAUCUUGUUGUCGGGGACUAGCUCCUGGGCUUCACUGUCCGGGACUAGGAGCUGACGAGGUUACUUUGAGUAAAUUAGAGUGUUCAAAGCAAGCCUACGCUCUGAAUACAUUAGCAUGGAAUAACACGAUAGGACUCUGGCUUAUCUUGUUGGUCUGUGAGACCAGAGUAAUGAUUAAGAGGGACAGUCGGGGGCAUUCGUAUUUCAUUGUCAGAGGUGAAAUUCUUGGAUUUAUGAAAGACGAACUUCUGCGAAAGCAUUUGUCAAGGAUGUUUUCAUUNA
rnacentral:rRNA from 1 species